rnacentral:lncRNA from 1 species
CAAAUGAUGGAGCUGGAAUUUGAACCCAGCCAGGUGACCUUUACACAGGAGGCAGACUCACUAAGUAGGAGGAAAGCAAAAGCAAGAUGUAAGGCUGUCUCUCACCUUCCCAAGACCCAGACAGAGGGAAGGAGGAUCCCACAUCCAGAGGUGAAUUCCUGCCCCAGUAAUUAUCAGGAGGAGGACCAGGCAUACCCAGCUGGAUCCAGAUGAAGCCCAGCAGCCUCACAGAUGAAGUUUCACCUGGGUCAAUGGGAUAAAUAAAAUAAAUGGGUGGAAUCCCAUUUUAGAGCCGUAAGAGCAGGGAUCCCGCCUGGAGAUUCCAGAUGUCUGGAAGCCUAUCCACUCACCCCAGCUUGGUCACAGUAUAGCCUUGUGCCUUGGGGCAGACAUCUCCUUGAGGACCUCCUUUCCUUCAUUUGCAAAAGUAAGCACUGAGUUAGAUGCUCCCAUAUGUCCCCACUGUUUUAUGGUUCUACUUCUCUGUAACUCAAAUUUCCUCAUAUGUAAGAUCGCAUGAUAAUCUUCAUAGACUGUGAAGAUGAAAUGAUUUAAAUAGGCAAAGUAUCUAGAACAGUGUUGGGGACAAAGUAAGCAUUCAGAAUCUUUUAGUUAUCAUCCUAAUCAUCCCAAAUUAUCAUUAUCAUUACAGGACAAGAGUUGCCAAACAGAUGCUGGUCAAAAAGUGCUAGACAUGUCCUUCCUUUGAAAUAUAGUCUGAGAAAGGGAUCAAAAUCACCAAAUGAGGCUGACUUCCCCCCCCCCCCGACACACCCUGAGUUUUAAUUGCAUAAUCCUAAGUAAAGAAAGUCUGUAGGGGCUGGCAGUGUAGUCCAGUGAUAAGAGUGCCUGUUUAGAAAGCAUAAGGCUCUGGGUUUAAUCCCAGCACCCGAAGGAAGGAAGAAAGGAAGGGAGGGAGGGAGGGAAGGAGGAAGGGAAUGCUAAGAGUAGUAUACG